UUGACCUCAAAUCAGGUAGGAUUACCCGCUGAACUUAAGCAUAUCAAUAAGCGGAGGAAAAGAAACUAACAAGGAUUCCCCUAGUAACUGCGAGUGAAGCGGGAAAAGCUCAAAUUUAAAAUCUGGCGGUCUUUGGCCGUCCGAGUUGUAGUCUGGAGAAGUGCUUUCCGCGCUGGACCGUGUACAAGUCUCUUGGAACAGAGCGUCAUAGAGGGUGAGAAUCCCGUCUUUGACACGGACUACCAGUGCUUUGUGAUGUGCUCUCAAAGAGUCGAGUUGUUUGGGAAUGCAGCUCAAAAUGGGUGGUAAAUUCCAUCUAAAGCUAAAUAUUGGCGAGAGACCGAUAGCGAACAAGUACCGUGAGGGAAAGAUGAAAAGCACUUUGGAAAGAGAGUUAAACAGUACGUGAAAUUGCUGAAAGGGAAACGCUUGAAGUCAGUCGCGUUGGCCAGGACUCAGCCUUGCUUUUGCUUGGUGCAUUUUCUGGUUGACGGGCCAGCAUCGAUUUUGACCGCUGGAAAAAGGUUAGGGGAAUGUGGCACCUUCGGGUGUGUUAUAGCCCUUAGUCGCAUACAGUGGUUGGGAUCGAGGACCGCAGCACGCCUUUAUGGCCGGGGUUCGCCCACGUUCGUGCUUAGGAUGCUGGCGUAAUGGCUUUAAACGACCCGUCUUGAAACACGGACCAAGGAGUCUAACAUGCCUGCGAGUGUUUGGGUGGAAAACCCGAGCGCGUAAUGAAAGUGAAAGUUGAGAUCCCUGUCGUGGGGAGCAUCGACGCCCGGACCUGAACUUCGGUGAUGGAUCUGCGGUAGAGCAUGUAUGUUGGGACCCGAAAGAUGGUGAACUAUGCCUGAAUAGGGUGAAGCCAGAGGAAACUCUGGUGGAGGCUCGUAGCGAUUCUGACGUGCAAAUCGAUCGUCAAAUUUGG
rnacentral:rRNA from 1 species